AUAUUUUAAGCUGUGUUAUGAUCUUGUAAAUUGCUCUAAUGGUGGACAAUCCAGAUCAUACAAGGAUCAGAGAUUGGAAACCCAUUCGUAUCACCAGAUCUGUGGAAGAGCCAUUCUGGCUUCUUGAGGUCAAAUACAUUUGGUGCAAUGUAGUGAUUCUUUUCAUGUCUAACCACGUAGAGUGGCAUUUAAUUCCCCCGUCCCCGUGAUUCCUCCAUGUGUUUCUACACAUGAAACAGAUCUUGUGAUAUUUUGCUGCAGUCAUUUUGAUUAACGCAGUUAAGGCAGGAUAAAGCUGUUGUCAGGGCACUUACCACCUGAGAAGUGACUGGAUUCCAGAAGAGGAAACAGAGUUUCUUCGUGAAAAUUUUCAACAUAUUAUUCCCCUUCCGGACUGCAUUUAUCUCCCACCGUCAGAAGAGAUUCUGAUUUUCAUAUUGGAUUGUUCUGUUAAAAGAAAUUCAAAGAAAUUUGGAAGUUGAGCUGUCAUUGAAUGGUGAUUGCAUUCGGUUCAGCACCUUGGACAUUGGAAAAUCAGUCAGAAGACCCAGACUUGAACAAAAACUCGAAGAAGACUAUUGAGAAGCAGCCGCGUGGUUGUAGGUGUUUAAAUCUGUGGGGGCCUUUUCUCUUCCGUGUAGCGUAGAGGCUUACCUAGAGGCGGUCGCGGCGCAGGUAGUGUAACCAGUAUAACUUUGUGUACCCGCGGGUUUUCCAAUCUCUGUGUAGCUAGCAGUUCUCUUCGUGUUAGUGUGGCAGCCGUGCCAGUUCCACAUUUGUGAUUGCUUUAUUUCCCUGGUAAUUAAACCUUGUGCCAUUCUAUUCCUGUUAAAUCCGUAGAAAAUGAGAAAAUACUCGACAUUUUGGGGGAAACUUGUAAAUCUGAGCCAGUAAAAGAAGAAAGUUCCGAGCUGGAGCAGCCAUUUGCACAGGACACAAGUAGCGUGGGGCCAGACAGAAAGCUUGCGGAGGAAGAGGACCUAUUUGACAGCGCCCAUCCGGAAGAGGGUGAUUUAGAUUUGGCCAGCGAGUCAACAGCACACGCUCAGUCGAGCAAGGCAGACAGCCUGUUAGCGGUAGUGAAAAGGGAGCCCGCGGAGCAGCCAGGCGAUGGCGAGAGGACGGACUGUGAGCCUGUAGGGCUAGAGCCGGCAGUUGAGCAGAGUAGUGCGGCCUCCGAGCUCGCGGAGGCCUCUAGCGAGGAGCUCGCAGAAGCACCCACGGAAGCCCCAAGCCCAGAAGCCAGAGAUAGCAAAGAAGACGGGAGGAAGUUUGAUUUUGACGCUUGUAAUGAAGUCCCUCCGGCUCCUAAAGAGUCCUCAACCAGUGAGGGCGCUGAUCAGAAAAUGAGGUUUGUUUUUUCUCAGUUUUAGACCAGACGCUAUCUCCUUUUCAUUGGUCAUGUAAUGACACACAUAAGCUGUUUUUUUCUGCAAUUGGCCAGCCAGACUGACGAAAUUGUAGUUUUGCUUCUAAAGAAUGUUUCGUUUCUCUUUGUGUGUUUUUAAUGGGUGAUUCAAUUCCUUUUCUUUUUCUCAACCUACCAUGGUUGUGUUCUUAAAUUGUUAAUUGUUAUCUUCAGCUAAAUCGAAUUGACUUUUACAAAUCUGACAUUGUAUUUUUGGGGUCAGAUUUUCCAAUAUAAGCUUGCAGAGGUGUCUGUUAAAAUUUUAUUUCAGACUAAUUUUCUGGUAGGUAUUCAGUUUUAGCACAUAAUCAUAUUUUUAGUUUUGUUCUCUUUCGUUUUUUUCCUGUAUGAGUAACAUUAACUUUUGUCUCUAGCUCUUUUAAGGAAGAAAAAGAUAUAAAGCCAAUCAUUAAAGAUGAAAAAGGUCGGGUCGGCAGCAGUUCUGGUCGGAACCUGUGGGUCAGCGGGCUGUCCUCCACAACACGCGCUACGGAUCUCAAGAACCUUUUCAGCAAGUAUGGGAAGGUUGUCGGGGCCAAAGUGGUAACGAACGCCCGCAGCCCGGGGGCUCGAUGCUAUGGAUUCGUCACCAUGUCGACAUCUGACGAGGCGACCAAGUGCAUCAGCCAUCUCCACAGAACUGAGCUGCAUGGACGAAUGAUCUCCGUAGAGAAGGCCAAAAAUGAGCCUGCUGGGAAAAAGCUUUCCGACAGAAAAGAGUGCGAAGUGAAGAAGGAAAAAUUAUCGAGUGUCGACAGACAUCAUUCUGUGGAGAUCAAAAUUGAAAAAACUAUAAUUAAGAAGGAAGAGAAGAUUGAGAAGAAGGAGGAAAAAAAGCCUGAAGACAUU
rnacentral:sRNA from 1 species